rnacentral:rRNA from 1 species
AGUAAUGCAUAGAUAACAUGCCCUUUAGUCUGGGAUAGCCAUUGGAAAACGAUGAUUAAUACUAGAUACUCCCUACGGGGGGGAAAGAAUUUCGCUAAAGGAUUGGUCUAUGUCCUAUCAGCUUGUUGGUAAGGUAAUGGCUUACCCAAGGCUAUGACGGGUAUCCGGCCUGAGAGGGUGAACGGACACACUGGAACUGAGACACGGUCCAGACUCCUACGGGAGGCAGCAGUAGGGAAUAUUGCUCAAUGGGGGAAACCCUGAAGCAGCAACGCCGCGUGGAGGAUGAAGGUUUUAGGAUUGUAAACUCCUUUUCUAAGAGAAGAUUAUGACGGUAUCUUAGGAAUAAGCACCGGCUAACUCCGUGCCAGCAGCCGCGGUAAU